AGAAAACACUUAUUAGUCUUGACCACUAGAUGGCAGUUUCGCACAGUAGCCAGAAGUCAGAAAAGAAACGCGUUUCCCGCCCAUCGUCACACAUUUUCAGAGCCGACAGUACACAUAUAUUUCUGAAGUAAUUUUUUUUUCUACGGUGAAUUUAACAUUUCUGCGUUUGAGGUCUGGACGAACCAACAUUUCCGAGACGUUCGUGAACGCAGCACUGACCUUCAGUUGUGGUCACCUCCGACGCCCCGGUCCUCUGCUCUCACCUUUGGUCAUGUACUCCGUGACGAUGUAUAUGGGCUCCUCCGACACCACGGCGUACAGAGGCACCAGCUUGUCGUGUCGCAGCCUCUUC